AGCUGGAGUCGGCGCUAGCUAACUGGAACCAGGAUGAGACUCGAGUAGGUGGCCUGUUUUCCAAGCAGCUGAUGCGGCAGUACGAAGAAUACAAGGCGUUCUACACUACGGCCAGACGGCUGUACCGGCAGAAGCACGCGGAGGACGGCGAGUUCGUGGAGUUCUGCCGCCUGCGCCGGGGCGCGGCCAAGCACACGC